rnacentral:rRNA from 1 species
AGUGAACGCUGGCGGUAGGCCUAACACAUGCAAGUCGAACGGCAGCACAGUAAGAGCUUGCUCUUACGGGUGGCGAGUGGCGGACGGGUGAGGAAUACAUCGGAAUCUACUUUUUCGUGGGGGAUAACGUAGGGAAACUUACGCUAAUACCGCAUACGACCUACGGGUGAAAGCAGGGGAUCUUCGGACCUUGCGCGAUUGAAUGAGCCGAUGUCGGAUUAGCUAGUUGGCGGGGUAAAGGCCCACCAAGGCGACGAUCCGUAGCUGGUCUGAGAGGAUGAUCAGCCACGCUGGAACUGAGACACGGUCCAGACUCCUACGGGAGGCAGCAGUGGGGAAUAUUGGACAAUGGGCGCAAGCCUGAUCCAGCCAUACCGCGUGGGUGAAGAAGGCCUUCGGGUUGUAAAGCCCUUUUGUUGGGAAAGAAAAGCAGCAGGUUAAUACCCCGCUGUUCUGACGGUGCCCAAAGAAUAAGCACCGGCUAACUUCGUG